rnacentral:rRNA from 1 species
AAAUUGAAGAGUUUGAUCAUGGCUCAGAUUGAACGCUGGCGGCAGGCCUAACACAUGCAAGUCGAGCGGUAGCACAGAGAGCUUGCUCUCGGGUGACGAGCGGCGGACGGGUGAGUAAUGUCUGGGAAACUGCCUGAUGGAGGGGGAUAACUACUGGAAACGGUAGCUAAUACCGCAUAACGUCGCAAGACCAAAGAGGGGGACCUUCGGGCCUCUUGCCAUCAGAUGUGCCCAGAUGGGAUUAGCUAGUAGGUGGGGUAACGGCUCACCUAGGCGACGAUCCCUAGCUGGUCUGAGAGGAUGACCAGCCACACUGGAACUGAGACACGGUCCAGACUCCUACGGGAGGCAGCAGUGGGGAAUAUUGCACAAUGGGCGCAAGCCUGAUGCAGCCAUGCCGCGUGUAUGAAGAAGGCCUUCGGGUUGUAAAGUACUUUCAGCGGGGAGGAAGGCGAUAAGGUUAAUAACCUUGUCGAUUGACGUUACCCGCAGAAGAAGCACCGGCUAACUCCGUGCCAGCAGCCGCGGUAAUACGGAGGGUGCAAGCGUUAAUCGGAAUUACUGGGCGUAAAGCGCACGCAGGCGGUCUGUCAAGUCGGAUGUGAAAUCCCCGGGCUCAACCUGGGAACUGCAUUCGAAACUGGCAGGCUAGAGUCUUGUAGAGGGGGGUAGAAUUCCAGGUGUAGCGGUGAAAUGCGUAGAGAUCUGGAGGAAUACCGGUGGCGAAGGCGGCCCCCUGGACAAAGACUGACGCUCAGGUGCGAAAGCGUGGGGAGCAAACAGGAUUAGAUACCCUGGUAGUCCACGCCGUAAACGAUGUCGACUUGGAGGUUGUGCCCUUGAGGCGUGGCUUCCGGAGCUAACGCGUUAAGUCGACCGCCUGGGGAGUACGGCCGCAAGGUUAAAACUCAAAUGAAUUGACGGGGGCCCGCACAAGCGGUGGAGCAUGUGGUUUAAUUCGAUGCAACGCGAAGAACCUUACCUACUCUUGACAUCCAGAGAACUUAGCAGAGAUGCUUUGGUGCCUUCGGGAACUCUGAGACAGGUGCUGCAUGGCUGUCGUCAGCUCGUGUUGUGAAAUGUUGGGUUAAGUCCCGCAACGAGCGCAACCCUUAUCCUUUGUUGCCAGCGAUUCGGUCGGGAACUCAAAGGAGACUGCCAGUGAUAAACUGGAGGAAGGUGGGGAUGACGUCAAGUCAUCAUGGCCCUUACGAGUAGGGCUACACACGUGCUACAAUGGCGCAUACAAAGAGAAGCGACCUCGCGAGAGCAAGCGGACCUCAUAAAGUGCGUCGUAGUCCGGAUUGGAGUCUGCAACUCGACUCCAUGAAGUCGGAAUCGCUAGUAAUCGUAGAUCAGAAUGCUACGGUGAAUACGUUCCCGGGCCUUGUACACACCGCCCGUCACACCAUGGGAGUGGGUUGCAAAAGAAGUAGGUAGCUUAACCUUCGGGAGGGCGCUUACCACUUUGUGAUUCAUGACUGGGGUGAAGUCGUAACAAGGUAACCGUAGGGGAACCUGCGGUUGGAUCACCUCCUUACCUUAAAGAA